CGUCGAUCGGGAUCUUGCUGGUGG
rnacentral:siRNA from 1 species